rnacentral:rRNA from 1 species
GCGGACGGGUGAGUAAUGCGUAGGAAUCUGUCUUUUAGUGGGGGACAACCCAGGGAAACUUGGGCUAAUACCGCAUGAGCCCUGAGGGGGAAAGCGGGGGAUCUUCGGACCUCGCGCUAAGAGAAGAGCCUACGUCUGAUUAGCUAGUUGGUAGGGUAAAGGCCUACCAAGGCGACGAUCAGUAGCUGGUCUGAGAGGACGACCAGCCACACUGGGACUGAGACACGGCCCAGACUCCUACGGGAGGCAGCAGUGGGGAAUUUUUCGCAAUGGGGGCAACCCUGACGAAGCAAUGCCGCGUGGAUGAAGAAGGCCUUCGGGUUGUAAAGUCCUUUCGUGGGGGACGAAAAGGUGGUUCCUAAUACGAGCUGCUGUUGACGUGAA